GGGGGUCGUAUCGGAUUACUGGGCGUAAGCGUGCGCAGGCGGUUUUGUAAGUCUGUCGUGAAAGCCCCGGGCUCAACCUGGGAAUUGCGAUGGAGACUGCAAGGCUUGAAUCUGGCAGAGGGGGGUAGAAUUCCACGUGUAGCAGUGAAAUGCGUAGAGAUGUGGAGGAACACCGAUGGCGAAGGCAGCCCCCUGGGUCAAGAUUGACGCUCAUGCACGAAAGCAUGGGGAGCAAACAGGAUUAGAUACCCUGGUAGUCCACGCCCUAAACGAUGUCUACUAGUUGUCGGGUUUUAAUUAACUUGGUAACGCAGCUAACGCGUGAAGUAGACCGCCUGGGGAGUACGGUCGCAAGAUUAAAACUCAAAGGAAUUGACGGGGACCCGCACAAGCGGUGGAUGAUGUGGAUUAAUUCGAUGCAACGCGAAAAACCUUACCUACCCUUGACAUGUCAGGAACCCCCGAGAGAUCGGGGGGUGCCCGAAAGGGAACCUGAACACAGGUGCUGCAUGGCUGUCGUCAGCUCGUGUCGUGAGAUGUUGGGUUAAGUCCCGCAACGAGCGCAACCCUUGUCAUUAGUUGCUACAUUCAGUUGAGCACUCUAAUGAGACUGCCGGUGACAAACCGGAGGAAGGCGGGGAUGACGUCAAGUCCUCAUGGCCCUUAUGGGUAGGGCUUCGCACGUCAUACAAUGGUACAUACAGAGGGCCGCCAACCCGCGAGGGGGAGCUAAUCCCAGAAAGUGUAUCGUAGUCCGGAUCGUAGUCUGCAACUCGACUACGUGAAGUUGGAAUCGCUAGUAAUCGCGGAUCAGCAUGUCGCGGUGAAUACGUUCCCGGGUCUUGUACACACCGCCCGUCACACCAUGGGAGCGGGUUUUACCAGAAGUAGGUAGCUUAACCGUAAGGAGGGCGCUUACCACGGUAGGAUUCGUGACUGGGGUG
rnacentral:rRNA from 1 species